rnacentral:lncRNA from 1 species
AUUUACUUUAAAGAGUUCCACUUCGAGUAAACGAUGAUCUGGACAUGUGUUUAUAAGUCGGGGGAAUCUUCACCGCACAAUCCAGUUUUGUGGGGUUGUGUUAGAUCCAUCCACGAUUUCUAAAAGUUGGUAUAUGUCUGAUGGAAUUUUAAAAAAUUUAUAUAUGUAAAUUCAUGAUAUCUGUAUUUUCAAUUUUCAGAUUAGAAAUUCACAUGUGGAUGGAUCUCAUAGGCAAAGAAGAGAACAUGGAAAGUUUUUUCAUAAUUAUUUGAAAUAUGUCGAGUUACGUGGUUGUGUUUGCACCAUGGAUGUGAUUGAGUUAGCCCGUCAUCUACUGAGGAAUGUGAAUUCGCUCAAGCAAAUUACUUUUAGUUCUUGUGACAAAUUCUAUAUAGGUGCCAAAAGAUUGACUAAAACCUCAAAAUAUUGUUGCUAUGAUCGUAACCUUAUUCAUGAGGUGCUUAAAGAUGAAGUAGAUGAACAAUCCCAACUUAUAAUUUUGUAGUGUUAUUUAUUUUUUUUGGUAAUAAAAG